rnacentral:lncRNA from 1 species
GUACAUAGCAUAACAAUAAUUGAAAAUGAACAAUGCAGCACCAGAUUAAAGAUACACAUGCACCAGAUGAGGUAAAGUACAUAGCAUACCAACGUAUACUUUAAAAAAUACAGAAACAGAUUAAAGAUACACAUGCAGCACCAGUGUAUACAUACAUAGCAUAAUAAUCUUUGCAAAACAAGCUUUGGGCCCGUCUCUCUAGUUCUUCCCUUACCAUGUGUUAAAUAAUGUUUCUUGAAUCCUAGUUUUUGCUUCCUUUUUCAUCUGUUUCUCUUUUCACUAUGUUUAGCCUACAAAAAACAAAAAGAAACUGUUCAAAAUCAAAGAUGAAAUUUUAAAUUAUAACAUAAAAAUAAAUGAUGCAAUUUUGUACACAAAAACAAAUUUUAAGAUAUAAACAUGUACAUAACAAUAAUUGAAAAUGAACAAUGAACAUGAACAAAUAACAACCGAGCCUUAUCCAAUUUAGUGGGGUUGGCUAUAUACAUUCCACGACACCACAAUGUUAUAUCAUACAUCAUAUCUCUAUCCAACUCAUUAAUCUCUAUGGUUUUCUUAAUAGCUUCUUUUAUAGUUGUUCUAGGUCUCCCUCUACCUAGUGAUUUGACUACUCCCCAUCAUAUAUACGCUCCUUACUUCAAAAUCUACAAGUCUUCUCUCUACAUGUCCAAACCACCUAAGCCAAUUUUCAGAAUCUUUUCUACAAUAGGCACUACCCCAACUCUCUCUUAACAUUGUCAUUUCUAAUAUUAUCCUGUCUAGUACUACCACACAUCCCCUUCGAAAGCAGCAUGUAUACUCUACUUGAUACUAAAUCAACAAAAGUCAUCUUACCACAAUAUGAGGAUCCCCUUCGAAUAAAUGACAACAACCCCCUUUAGCACCAAAUUUCCAAACCCAACUACCCGCAAGUAAUUAUGCAGCGAUCUAUUACACAAAAAGCAGCAGCCUUAAGUUGUUCUUCAAUUACAGGAUCAAAGCAAAUCUACUAACAUAUCAUUGUUAACUUAGCUACAUUCUUGGAGAAAGACUUAAUUUUUCUCACAAUUGAUUGUGAUUUUGAUAAUUUGAUUGUAACUGUAAUGAGAAAGGCAUGCAUAGAUUGUUAAGCAUACAUAGACUAUUAAGCCUACAUGGACAGACAAAUUAAUCUUGCAAGUGUAGAUGAAAAUAGUGAGUGCACUGGUUCUACAUGUAAAGUAAACCACAACUAAUAUCAUACAAGUCUAUUGCUACAACACAACAUAAACAUACUUUUUUUCUGAAUAGUAUAAAAACAAGAUCGCAACAAACAUUAAUUGAAUUCCUUCAAAGUAGUGACUUUAAUUCAACCAUCAAUGUUACUGAAAAAUAAUAAUACCAUUGCGGUGAUACCAGACUCUCAGGGUAAAUAUGCAGAUCCUUGUCAAAUUUGCCGGGAGUACUGCUACAAUAAUCCAACAAACCAUAACUAUUCAAGUUAUACACAUCAAGUUUUGAACACCCUAUUAGGACUGUUAUGUAUCACCUAUUUGGGUUUUUAUUAUUUGUUUUACUUUAAUCUACGUAAGAUGUUGCGGAUCCAUCUGCACCAAAAAGUUGACGAUCACAGAAGAUGAGGGCAGCGCCGUUACCGAAGGUGAACUUGGGUUUGGCUUCCAUCGGUUAUGCAGGAUAGGUUUUGAAUGGAAUACAAAUCGACUACAGGGAGACAUGUUUAUUAAUUAAAUGAGUGUUUUAAUCUCAACCCUCUAUUUUAAUCUAAUGGUUUGAGAUUUGUUUAUGUAUCUAUGUAUGUGUGUGUGUCUUUGAAAAAUAUUUAACAUACAUUUAAGGCUAUCAAAGAAAUUGAAAGUUCAGAAAAAUAUAUGAAUAUGUAAGAGAAAUUAUAAGAGUAACACCAUUAGUGUGAGCAAAUAAAGUGAAAGAUUUAUACGCAAUAGAGAAAUUGUGUUACCUUAAAAUUUUUGAGGUGUUUACAAUAACCUUCAAGGCACCUCAUACUUCCUCGAGGAGCAAACUUAAAUGUUGUAUAACACUCGUUAGUACUUGCACAUCGCACUGUAAUGUUAGACAAAGAUAAAGAAAUAUUAUAAAAACGGGUAAAAGAUUAUAUAUAAAAUUAACAAAAAAAUGAGAAUGAGGACAUGGCAUAACCAUAAAUCGAUAUGCCGUCAACAACAACAAGACAUAGGAAAACCAAAAGGAUCACAAUAUAAACAAUUUUGAGAGUUUCAGCCAUUUAUUU